UUUUAACGUUUUAACGGGUAGGGUCGUCGUCGACUAAGGUUUGGGUUUCGGUUCCGUACGAACGUCCGUUCGGUCCGGUCCGGUAGGAGGUUCGUCGGGUUUAAAGUCCCCAUAAACGAGCGCAACCCCUAUCAUUAGUUGCCAUCAGGUCAAGCUGGGGACUCUAAUGAAACUGCCUACGCAAGUAGUGAGGAAGGUGGGGAUGACGUCAAAUCAGCACGGCCCUUACGUCCAGGGCUACACACGUGCUACAAUGGCCGGUACAACGGGCAGCGAAGGAGCGAUCCGGAGCGAAUCCUAAAAAAGCCGGUCCCAGUUCGGAUUGCAGGCUGAAACUCGCCUACAUGAAGUUGGAGUUGCUAGUAAUCGCGAAUCAGAAUGUCGCGGUGAAUGCGUUCCCGGGUCUU
rnacentral:rRNA from 1 species